rnacentral:lncRNA from 1 species
AAUUCGCUAAUAUUGAACCUUUUCUAUCAUCUUUCUUUCCUCAAGCAUGAAACGGAGUUGAGCGGUAGGCAUUCCUUUCCAUUACAGUGGGAAAGUGGAUGCGAGUCGGCUUUCACCCUUCCAUUGCACUUUCAUGAGUCAACUUUUUUGUUUUAUUGCUCCCGCUUCCUCACAUCUGCGCUCGUCAAGCCAACUUUGCUUUUUUUGGGAGGCGUUAAAAAAUUCUUUCACCAAAGGUGUGAAUUGGGGAGGAUUGGUCGCCGAAAUAUUAACUGGAGACUGAAUCUUAAUAUACCUCAGAAGAACUACACUUGCUUCUGGAUAGAUGUGUGGGACAGAGGGCUCGUGGUACCUUCUGCCCACCCUUCCUCCUCUGCUUUGAGAACUGUGUGAACGGAGAGUGGGCAGAAGGGAAGGAGGUCUAGAUCGCUUGCUAUAAGUAAGGAAACUCCUGAGUACGGAAUUGAGACCGAAGAAAGGAGAUUCCACUCAGUUCAUAUCUUUAAGUUCGAUCAUUGACAAGGUUCAAAGAAAGGGUGGGCCGUCGGUUUGAAUCCAAUAUUAUGCAAUUUUUUUUUUCGAUUUAAGUUCUUUUCUUUCUAAGAGGUGGAAUAGAAUAACCCGG